rnacentral:rRNA from 1 species
UACAGAGGUCUCAAGCGUUGUUCGGAUUCAUUGGGCGUAAAGGGUGCGUAGGUGGCGCCGUAAGUCGGGUGUGAAAUUUCGGAGCUUAACUCCGAAACUGCAUUCGAUACUGCGGUGCUUGAGGACUGGAGAGGAGACUGGAAUUCAUGGUGUAGCAGUGAAAUGCGUAGAGAUCAUGAGGAAGACCAGUGGCGAAGGCGGGUCUCUGGACAGUUCCUGACGCUGAGGAGCGAAAGUGUGGGGAGCGAACAGG